AAUGAUCUUAAACGAGGUACUAAGACUAUAUCCACCUUUGACUCUUCUGUAUCGACGUACUCUAAAGGAAACAAGUAUUCGAGGAAUGUCCAUUCCAGCUGGGGUAGACCUCCUGUUACCAUUCUUGUUUCUUCACUAUGAUCCUGAGUAUUGGGGAGAUAACGCAGAAGAAUUCAAACCAGAGAGAUUCUCUGAAGGAGUUUCGAAAGCAUCAAAGGAUGAAAUUGCAUUUUACCCUUUUGGUUGGGGCCCUAGAUUUUGUCUAGGCCAAAACUUUGCCUUGACUGAAGCAAAGAUGGGUCUUACUAUGAUUCUACAAAAUUUCUGGUUUGAGCUUUCACCCUCUUACACGCAUGCUCCUUUUAAUGUCAUAACUCUUCAACCACAACAUGGAGCUCCUAUUAUACUACACCAAUUAUAAGGUUUACAUAGUAGUUUAGUAUCUUAUGAAGGGAAGCAACUCAGUUGAAUGAGUCACAGCAGGUUGUCCCAAUGUUUUGUUGUCAACCAGGAACAAGUUGGUGCAGUGGAGAGUGUUGUUUCUAUGCAUAAUGUUGCCAUCUGCUAUUGUAUUAAAGUGAUUAUUCCCUUUUCUUUCUUGUGGUUCUGAUGAUUGUCAUAGUAUGUUCUUAUGAAAGCACCACCUAAUGGAGAAAGAUGCUUAUUUCCUUCAAUCUUUCAUUGUUCUCUGCUGCUUUCUCAUCUUCCAUUAAAGGGAGAAAGUACAAGUAACUCCUGGAACUUGUCCUCUCCGUUUUGUACCCUGUAAAAUAGAUAGAUACAUCCCAAAGAUUUGACCUUUUAUAACUAUGACUUGUUAUCUUAAGACUCGAAUUAAAAUGGAGAUUUUUAAGGACCUCCAUUGUUCACAAGGUGGAACUCUGUUUUGGGUAUCCUCUGUUUUUUUUAUGUAGCCAUGAUUGCUGUAAUUUAACCUCUUCAAUAGUUUAAUUGUCUCUGAUUUUUUAACUUUUUAGAAUUGAUACAAAUUAAAUCUCUAAACUUUAUAUUUUUUUAAUAGAAUCCUUGAUUGAAUCGAUAAACUAUUAAAAGUUAAAUUAAAUUUUUAAAUGUAAUUAAUUCUUACUAUUUAUAUCAAAUUAACUUUUAAACUUUUUUUUUCAAUUAAGUUUUUAAUUAAACCUAUUAAAAGUUUCAUAAAAUAUUUAAAUUUAAUUAAUUCUUCUAAUAUUGGUUAUGUUGGAUUUUAGCCUCCAUUUUCUCUUCAUUUUCUUUCUUGUAAGUCUUUCUUUAGCUCAUCGAAUCAAAAUAUCAGUCUAGUUAUUUUGAUUUGUUGCAGCUUGAGGAUUUAUCUCUUUGUGUUUCGAAAAUAUUUUUUUAUUUUAAAUUUUGUAAAUUUUUUGUUUUGAAUAAAAAAGAAAAUGUAUUCUUUAUAAAACAAUUUUUUGGAGAUCCAAAAUUGAGUUAUGACAUCAUUAUGCAAUUUUUACUCUAAAAUAAAGAAAAUUAAAAAUUAAAAAAAUUGAAAGUUCAAGGCUUUGAUCCUAAUUAUAAAAUCUAAACUAGUUCGAAAGGUUUGCCCGAGACUUCGUUAACCCGGACUAGAUUGGGUUAAAAAUACAAAAGUGAGUUAGUUUGACCUGGUGAAAAACAUAGGUUGACUUGAUGUAAAACCCAAUCUACCUGGUCCUCAACUUAUUGAUGUUUUUUUUUUUUUUAAAGAAUCAAAACAAUAAUAUUUUAGUUAUUUUUUAAAAAUUGAAUCAAUCUAAUUUGACCUUUCCAGUCUAUGACUAGAACUUUGCUCCCAUUUAAAUUUUAGAACUAUGACUUAAUACCUGAUUGGGUAUUUGAGAGUAUGGUAACCGUAUUUUUUUAAAGUGUUUUUUUAUCUAGAAAUACAUUAAAUUUUUAUUUUAAAAAAAUUAUUUUUAACAUUAAAACGAUAUGAAAAAAAAAGACCAAUAAUUUGAAGAAAUAAAAAAAUUUAAUUUUUUAAAACAUAAAUUUUGUUUCUAAUGGAUCUUCACUGUCGAUUUGAACAGUGAAGGUGCGCAAGGAACUGAAUUUUGGACGUAGUCGGAAGGUUGGGUGAGCAGAUCGGAGAAUGGAUGGAUUCAAAUUACAAAGCUGAUGUGAGCAGCUCGGCCAAUAGCACGUGGUGGGCUCAUUUUACUGAACAAGAAGAGAUCCCUGUCCCUGCCAUGCGAUUUUUCCUUCCCGCCUGUGGUCCUCUUGCAAGUGGAUUGUAUUCCACUAGGGGUGUGCCGCGUGUUUGUGUGUGAGAGGGGAAGAUUCCGGUGACUAUUCCAAGUGGAAAAUAUGUCUAUGAUAAAUCAAUAUAUACCACUUAUGUUUUUUUCAUAAAUGAAAAAAAAAAUAUUUAAAAGAUAUUUGAAAUCAUAUUUGUCGCAGGGCAUGCUAACACGGCGUCGUGUGUUGGAAAGUAUUUUGGAUUUAAUCAUAAAAUUAUGGUUAAUGUUUAGGAGUCGUCACCGAGUAUUACGGUCACUAGAAACCUAUAGUCUGCGAGAGUCUGGGUAAAGUACUGGUUGUGCAAGGGGAAGACGCAUCACCCUCAGUACAACCUAAGGUAAGCUGCAUUAUUGUUUGAUUGUUUUUUUUUCUAAGUCAGGUUGGUCAUUUCUAAGGUUCAUGGCAAAUCUCUUUUCAUGAGAGAGUCUCUACCUAUUCGGUUACAUCCUAACCGUUCUAAAGUCUAUAUUUUUACACUUUGUAUCUUUAAUACCUGAGGGUGUACUUUAUCGUGUAAUUUUACACCUCACAAAUAUUAAAGUCUACAUCUGGAUCCUAAAAAAAAAGAUUAAAAAAAAAAAAAUUUUGACAUGUUGGUCAAAUCCUAAUGGAUAAUCAUAAACUGGUUAUAAUUUCUUUUUCUUUUUUAUGAAAAAUAUGCUUGGAAAAAUUUUAGGAUUUGGCCGUAUGCAACAAAAUAUUUUUUUCUUUUGAAUUUUUUUUUUUUGGAGAAAACCAGGUAUUUUAAUACCGGAUUUGUAUCUUACAAUGUAAGUAUACAAUCCAAUAUUUAAAAAAAUUGAUAAAAAAAUAUUUGAGAAAAUUUCAAAUUUUUUGAAAGGAUUUUUGUAAUUUUUUAAUUUAAUUAAUUUUUAUUUUUUAAUUAUAUAUUAAGUAAUUAAAUAUAUCAAAGCAUAUGGGCUGGGCCCAACACAGGCCCAGAAACAAGUGUAUUGAUUAUAGGAACAAAAUGAUUGGGUCGGCCUCGACCCAACAUAUUUUCUUCCUGCAUUUUAGGGACGGGCUGGACUCGGCCCAGCCAACUAGGCUAGGCUAAAGCAGGUCCAACCCAUAGCAGCUUAGUCACUAGGCAGCCUAGUGACUAAGUUGUAGGAACAGUGCAACGUGAAUUAUAAUUCACGUUGCAUUGUUCACGUGCAGCGAUGGAGGUGAAGAGAAGAAGAAGAAGAAGAAGAGAGGAGGGAGACUCACCUGGCGCUGAAGGAGCUGACGGCCUGACUGGUGGUGGUGAGGCUGGCGGCCGGCUGUGGCCGCAGCUGGAAGAAGAAGAAGAAGACGCCUACAAUGGAGAAGGGAAGCUCACAGUUGCAACUGUUGGAGCGGUUGAGGAGAGAUCUAAUAUCCUGGCGAUCUUUGGGAAAGGCAGAAGCUCUGGUCGUGGUGGUUGCUACGGCUGCUGGGGCCACGAUGGCAGAGAAGAAGCGUUUUAUAGAGGAGAGAGAGAGAAGUGGUGCAACAACUUCACAUGAUGUUUUGACAGCUGCUUGAGGUGAAGAUGACGGUGAGAAGACGAGUGAUGAUGGUGGUGGUGGCUGAAGGCCACGGUGGAGAGAGAAAGAAGAGAAAGGGCUGGUUGCAGGAAAAACGGGGCAGGGAAGGAUGGUUUUCGGCCAACUUUGGGUUCAAUUUUCUUCUCCCUCAGGCCAUCAAAUCCGUCUCUAUUUAUAGGCGGUGGAAGAGGGCAAUCUUGUCUAAAUUGGGGAAAAUUUCAACCCUUGAUUCGGUUGGGAAGGAUCCCAACCGUUGGCUCAAAGUGAGCAUCAUGAGUUGUUCAAUUCGCAGAUAAAGGCUUCCCGAGUUGGCCUGUUUAGGCCGACGCCGGCACCGUCUCGUUGACAUUUAGACUGUAAUGCUCAGUUGGGGUUGUAAAGAAACUGUGGGGGAUCAUUUGCGUGCACGUUUUGUUAGAUUUGAUGGAGAAAAGAAGCAUUAAAUGCGCCUGAAAAGUAGCCGCUUGGGUAGCAUUCACAGGUGAAAUCGGGGAAGAUAAUGAACAGUACCAGACGACGUGUUGCCUGGUUUUUUUUUUUUUACACAAAACGGCGCCGUUUUGGAUUGAAUUUGGGAGUUUAGCUUAUUUUAAAUUUAGUCCUUCAGCUUUCAAUUGACUUCAAUUGAACCCUAAUAACCUUUUACAACACGGUACUUGGUCUCGGAUUUUGUUAAUUUAACCCCUAAUUUACCAUUAAACUUUCAAUUUCACCCCCGAUUUUUAUCAAUUUCACCCUUAAAGGUUAGUGCUUGUUACGGAUUGGUCCAUGAUCUCGGAUUUUUUCAAUUUAACCCCUAAUUGACCCCAAAACUUCAAUCUUCUUGCAAUUUGGCCCCCAAUUUCAAUCAAUUAACUUGGUAAAUAUUAAAUUUGGUCUUUUAAAAUUCCAAUCUUCUCAAUUAAGCUCCCAAACUUAAUGUUUCACCAAUUAAGCCUAAAAUAAAAUUAAUUUGACCCCUUUAAAGUAUAAUUAAGUCCUUGCACUUACUUAAAUCCUUCAAUUGGACCCAAAUUAAUUCUUAAACAUAAUUAAAAUUUAAUUUGGCCUAUGAUUAAAUCAAAUUGGCCUAUUAAAAAUUUAAUUAUCUCAUUGGACUUAAUGUUUCACCAAUUAAGCCCAAAAUAAAAUUAAUUUGACCCAUUUAAAGUAUAAUUAAGUCCUUACACUUAAUUAAAUCCUUCAAUUGGAUCCAAAUUAAUUCCUAAACAUAAUUAAAAUUCAAUUUGGCCCAUGAUUAAAUCAAAUUGGCUUAUUAAAAAUUUAAUUAUGUCCUUGGAUUUAAUUUUUAUGCAAAUCCAUCCAAUAAUCAUUUAAUUUGACCUUCAAUUUGCAUUUUUUUUUUGGGCAUAAUGGGGUACAAUUAGGCCUUGAAUCUCCUCCAAAAAAUUACAGCUUGAUUCCCCGGCCUACUUUCUCUAUAUUGCCAGUCUUUAUUUUAUUUUUUAUUUUUAUUUUGAAAAACAAGUUAUUUUUGGAGAAUAAACCAGAAUUGGUUUAUGACAAUAUUAAUUAAUUUAUUAACUAGAAGAAAUAUAAAUACCUCAUGCAUUUUUUAUAUAAACAGUGAAACACCUCUUCUUCUAUUUCUUUUUUUAAAAUUUUUAAAUCUUUUCUUUUGAUAGACUCUUCUACAAUUAAAUUUGUUAAAAUUAUAUUCUUUGUUCUUUCCCCCCUUCAAUUUAGCCCUUUUUUUCAUUUUUUUUAUUUUUUCUCAAUUUCAUCAUUAGAUUUUUAUUUUAUUUUUUACAAUUAUCUAGCAUGGUUUUGGACUAAUCAAGUUAAUUAGAUCAUAUCGAUACAACUUUUACAUGAUUUAAUUUUAAACACGAGCCUAACAAGGAGUCGAGUGGAGAGCUUUUUCUUUUAAUUUCAUUGGUUUUUUUUCUAAAAACUUUUCUCAAACUUUUUUUAUUUAUCAGGUGAGUUGUUUUUGGAUCGAAGAAGCAGAUUAGGUCAUGCUAAAAAACUAUCAUAUUAUUUAAUUUUAAAUCCGGGUUAGACAUAAAAUUGGAUCGAAAUGCUUAUUUCCUUCAAUCUGUUAUUGUUCUCUGCUGCUUUCUCAUCUUCCAUUCAAGGGAGAGUGAAAAUAACUUCUGGAACUUGUCCUUUCCUUUUUGUACCCAGUAAAAUAGAUAGAUACAUCCCAAAGAUUUGGCUUUUUAUUACUAUGACUUAUUAUCUAAAGACUAAAAAAAAAAGGAGUUUUUUAUGGACCUUCACUGUUUAUAAGGUGCGUGAAGAACUCUGUUCUUGGUGUCCUCUGUUUGUUUUUUUAGCCAUGAUUGCAAUAAUUUAACCUCUUCAAGUUUUAAUUCUCUCUUAUUUUUUAACCUUUUAGAAUUGAUAAAAAUUAUAACACAAAUAAUUAUAUUUAAAAACUUAAAAUUAAAAAAACCUUGGAUCCUAACACAAAACUUAUUAGGCUUGGUCCUAUGUUAGAAUCCAAGAGAUUGGAUCCUAACAAAAGACCAAUAGUAUUGGGUUAGGCAAUGUUGUAGACCCAAGAAAUUUGGGUUUGCGUCCUAGCUAUACCUAAACUCCCUUGGACAUCGCCUUCUUUUUCUGCCUCAAGUUUCUUGAAUCUGGAAGAGAAUAUCUGACCCAAAAGAAACGAAAAAAAAUGAAAUCAAAUUACUGAUGGGUCCUUCUAGGGGUAAGACACCAAGACCCAUCAACUGGUCCUGCUAGAGAUAGAACACACGUUGAUGGGUCAGGCUCACAAGAAGAGUCAAGAGUCAUGGGUUUAGUGGUGGCUGGACCAAAAGCUAUUUUAGAUCAUAAUUAUAGCUUCAACAAAAAUCAAUAAGAGAAAAGAAAAAAAAAAUCAAGAGAGUAAAAACUAAAAUUAAAAAUAUCUUAAAAUAUUUUUUUAAAAAUAUAUUGAGAUAUUUUUUUAAUUUUUUAAAAUCUAUUUUAUAUAUAAUCACAUCAAAAUAAUAAUAAAAAAAUAUCUUAAUAUGAAUUAAGGAAAAUAUUAAUUUGAAGUGAAGAAAAAAAUAAAUAAUAAUAAUAAUUGAUUUUACCCUUAAAAUCAAAUCUAUGCUUUUUCCAUAGCAAUAAUAUUUAUUUUAAUUUCAAUAAUAUUAAUGAAUUUAAUAAUAUUUAUAAUAUUAAUAAUAAUAUUUAACUUAUCUGUCUAAUUUUUGUAUUUUUCAAUCUUUUAAAAACAAUUUAUGCUUUCUUCGAUCAUAGUAAUAAUUUUUUUUUUUAAUUUGGUAAUGGCAAUAACAAUAAUAAAAAAAGUGAUAAUAAUUCUUAAUUUUACCCUUCCAAUCAAAUAUUUUAUUAUUUUUCAAUAUUAAAAUUUUUUAUAUAAAUUUAUUUAUUAUUAUAUGAAUAAUAUUAAUUGUAAUACAAAUUAUAUUAUUUAUAAUAAAAAUAAUAGUAGGUUUAAUAUUAAUGAUAGUAAUUAUAAAAAAAUCAUAAUAUUUAUAUCAUAAAUAUUAAUAUUUUUCAUAGUAAUAAUUUUAAUUAUAAUAAAAAUAAUAAUAUUUAGAAUUUAAAUAAUAAUAAUAAUAUUUAUCAUAUUAAUAAUAGUAUUGAACUUGUCUGACCAAAGUUUUAAUCGUAAUAAGUGUUUGAAAAAACUUUAUUAACAAUAAUAAUAAUAAUUGAUAUUAUUUUUCAUUUUUCUUCUUUUCCCGCGCUAUACCGCGGACUCACCUUUUAUUUUAAUAAAAUAAUAUUAUAAAAAUCUAAGACCCAAAAGUAUUGGGUUUGGUUACAACGUCGAACCCAAGAGCAUUGAGUCUAGCUGCAACACCAAACCCUAUAAUAAUAUUUAUAAUAUUAGUAAUAAUAUUUAACUUGUCUUUCAAAAAAAAAUUUUAAUCUUUAAAAAAAUAGUAAUAAUAGUUUUUUAAAAUUUAAUAAUAAUAAUAAUUAAUAUAUUAUUAUUAUUAUUAACUUUACACUUCACAUCAAAUCUAUGGUUGUUUUUCAAUAUUGAUAAUAUUUGUUUUCAAAUUUAUUAAUUAUUUUAUUAAUAAUAUUAAUUAUGAUAAAAAAUAAUAAUAUCUAUAACACAAAUAAUACUAUUUUUAAUAUUAAUACUUUAAAUUAUAAUAAAAAUACUAAUAUUUAUGACAAUUUAGAUUAAUACUUUAAUUAUAAUAAAAAUAAUUAUAAUUAUAAUACAAAUGAUUAUAUUUAAAAACUUAUGACCCAAGAACCUUGAGUCAUAACGCAGGACUCAUUAAUCCUAGGUCCCGACACCACACCUAAGAGCUUUUGGUGCUGACACAACCCAAAAAAUUAGGUCCUGAUGCAGGACUUAAGAGAUUCGGUUCUGAUGAAGGAUCAAUAAUCUUUGGUCAAACGGGUCUGCAAAGACCUAAAGAAUUUAAGUAUGCGCCUAGCAACACCCAAGAUCCUUGGGUGAGGCACCCUUUCCUACCCCAAGUUUCUUAGGUUUGGAAAAGAAUGUUGGACUCAAGAGGAAAGAAAAAGAAAUGAAAAAGCAAUUAUUGGUGGAUCCUGCUAAGGGCAUGACCCAACAAUGAUGGAUCAUAUUAAGGACAUGACCCACAACUAAUGGGUUCAAUGGCGGCUGGACCCAAAGCUAUUUUGAAGUGAAGACCAAGCUUAAUAUAUUUCUCUUGAGUGUGGUUGCACAAUUAGACCCAAUCUCAAUAUAUUUAAAAAUAAAAUUAAAAAAAAUACAAAACAUAAAAAAUAUUAAUUUGAAGUAAAGAAAACAAUAAAAGAAUUUCAAAAAACUUUCAAUGUAUUUUUGGAAUGCAAAACCAAACAUGCUUUAAUAAGGAAAUUCAACCCAACCUGAAAUGAAAAAAAUAAUUAUCGUCACCUAACUUUUGUAUAAUAUAAAACAAAAUCACAUUAAUUUAUUUUCUCUUUACACUAUGAAAAAAAAAUCAAUAAGAGAAAAGAAAAAAAAAUUCAAGAGAGAAAAAAAUAAAAUUAGAAAUAUCUUAAAAUAUUUUUUAAAAAUUAUAUUGAGAUAAUAUUUUUUAUUGUUUUAAAUCCAUUUUUUAUAUAAUCACAUAAAAAAUAAUACAAAAUAUCUUAAUAUGAAUUAAAGGAAAAAAAUAUUAAUUUAAAGUUAAAAAAAUAAUCUUGUUAUAAAAUUUAUUAACAAUAACAAUAACAAUAACAAUAAUUGUUAUUACUUAUAUUUGUUUUUGUUUUUUUUUCAAAUCUGUUAUUUUUCUAUAUAGGUCUGUAGACCCAGCAACAUAGGUCUGCUACCCCUGGGGGAGUCUGCAGACUCCAGACUUGGCAUAACAAAACCCAGGCGUGCCUAGCCGCGUGGGUAUGCAACCUCUAACGGGGUCUGUAGAUCCCAAACAUGGCAAAAAAUACCCAGGGGCGGGUCUGUAUCCUGCUCCCAGUUAUGCACACCCAAGUGAGGGGUUCUGCAAACCUAGGCGAGACCCUAGAGGCGAGGGUCUGCAAUCGCGAGUAGGCUUGCAGACCCACUUGCCUGUGUCUACAGACAUGCACUUUGGUUCUACCACUCACGCUGGUCUGCACCCACCACCUGGGUAUGCAGCCCUUGCGCGCGGUUUAACAGACUUGCCCGCCUAGGUUUGCAACCUCUUGUCCGUGCCAGUCCCAACACCAUGUUUCUGCAACUUGGGGCCUGCGGUCCCACUUGACGCGCAGCCACCUAGGGCUUGGCAUCCCCAGCAUCAUGUCUGCAGCCUAGGGUUUGGAGUCCCACUUGGCAAGCGGGUACCCAAGGCUUUGCCAGCCCAGCAUCAAGUGUCUGUAGCCACACCAAAAUUAGAGCUAACCUAGGGGAGUGGAUCUGCAGCCUCAUUGUGCUCCCACCCACCAAGCAUUAUAAUUUAUAGUGAAAUCACUUAUAAUUCACAAUAACUCUUCUUAACUAGUGCAAUCCACAAAUAAAACGUUUUUAAUUCAUAAUUUCUUUCGUUGUAAUAAAAUACUGUUAAUAUUUUUAGUUAUAGUUAAUUGAUAACUUCAGCAGCAAGAUCAUUAAGUAAUACUCUAAAAGGCGUGGGAAAACUAUUGUAGCUUUCCGACGCCUUUUACUAAUAUAUUUACUUAUUAAUAUAUUAUAUAACUGUUAUUUUAUUUUAUUUUGUUUUUUGUUUUUUUAAUGAAUUUUUUUUAUUUGAUUUAGUUUGUUAAUGUUAAUUUUUUUUUAUUUAGUUAUCAGAUUUUCAUGAUACGGAUCCCGGAUUUGAUAGGUUAACCUAAUUUGACGAGUUAACCCGGAUUUUUUUUAAUUAUUUUUUUCAUUUAAUUUAGUUUGUUAAAGUUAAUUUUCUUUUUAUUUAAUUAUCAGACUUUCAUAACACGUAUCCUAGGCUUAACGGGUUAACUUGGUUUGAUGGGUUAACUCAGUUAAUUCUGGGUAAACCCAUCAUUUGUUUUUCUAUUUAGUUAUCAAACUUUCAUGACGUGAAUCCCAGGUUUUACGGGAUAACCUAAUUUAAAGGGUUAACCCAAUUAAUUCAUUUUUUUUUCUUUUUCUUCAUGUUGAUUUUUUUUCUUUGUUUUUUUUAAUUAAUCUAUUUAAUUAUUACACUUUUAUAACAAGACCUUAUAGCCAUACCCACAUCCAAUAUUUUUGGGUCCGUUGUUGCAGUCAUGCUCACUCAAACUUGGAUUAUACAAGUUUAAUGUUAUUAUUAAUAUUAUCAAUAUUACUCUUACGUCAGGCUUUGCAGCUAAACCCAAGAUUUUUGGAUAUAAUUUUGCAGAAAAACCUAAAAAUUUUAAAUUUUUAUUUUUUUUAUAUUUUUUAUAUAAAAAAAUAAACCGCGACAUCGCAAGGAUGAUAUACCUAGUAAUCUAUUAUUAGCGUAUAUCACGUGAGAAUAAUCUUCGUGCCCUUGGGCUGCAAGGCAAAUUAGGAUUUAUAUUCUCGUUCUGUCGUUUUCACUUUUUAUUUUUUUUGUUCUUGAAAUCAAUACACGUUAUUUUGGUGUUUCUGAAACAAUGAGACAAGAGAUGGGUUAUAAGUUUGUCAAGGAAAAACAAAAGGUCGACGUCAUUGGAAUCAAUAAAAUAAAUAAAGACAGGAAAGCAAUAAGGUUCAAGUUCAAACAGGAGCUAACAAAAGCCCUAUAAAUUCUUCACCAAUCGGGUCUCAUUUCCAUCAAAUUUCAUCGAUCCCAAGUUUGCUGAAGCAGCAGUUUCCAACCAAAAAACAAAAAUGGAAGAUUUUAUUUUCAGAGGGUUUCUGUCCUCUUCUUUACUUCUAUUUCUCUAUGUUGUGUUUAGAGUUGCUCACACGUUUUGGCUGAAACCGAAAAGCCAAGAGAAGCGUUUGAGGAAGCAAGGGAUCAGAGGCACUUCUUACAAGCUUUUGAAUGGUGAUAAGAAAGAGUUUGCAAGGUCUUCUAAAGAAGCUAGGUCCAGGCCCAUUGCUCUAAAUCAAGCAAUUGCACCACGUGUCCUUCCAUUCUUUUAUAAAAUGGUGCAAAUUUACGGUGAGCAGCAGCUUCACAAGCUAUCUCAUUUUUUCAGAUUUUUUUUAUUAUUUCUAGGAAUUUCUGUUCAUACAUGUAUUUGGUAAUCGGUAUUAUCCUGAUUUGUAAUGCGAACGAGAACAGGAAAGGUCUCCCUGUGUUGGAUGGGGACAAGACCUAGCCUGCUAUUAGCUGAUCCAGAGCUGGUGAGGUUGGUGUUAACAGACACGAGUGGUCACAUUAUAAAGCCACCGCAAAAUGCCCUUGUGGGUCUGUUACAGCGGGGAGUCUCAACCUUGGAAGGAGACGAAUGGGCCAAGCGCAGAAGGUUGAUGACACCUGCCUUCCACGCUGAGAGAUUAAGGGUAACUUCACCUACCUGAAUCUUGCAAGUUUAAACAUUCUUAAGAAAUUUUUACAGCUUGCAUUUGAAAAUUUAGAAUCUAUUUGGACUUCUUUACAUUUUAUCAAUUGACCAAUGUGCUGCAUAAGCAAAAAUUGAUCCAGAAAACAUUCAUGAAUGUCAGCAAAUGGCAAGAAGGAGUGAUAGAGAGUUAUAUAAAUUAUAUUUUGAAACCUGUGAUUGAGCUAUUGAAUUGAGAUAGUUCUAUAAUAUAACAUGGUAUUCUAUUGGAUUCAGUUGGUUUUUUGACAAGUUGAGGUGAUGGUACAGCUAUACACACCAAAACGUGUACUGUAGUCAAACUUGAGAUGGAGGCUUGAAAGAAUUCUUGAAUUAUCAUAAAGAAACUUUGCGGGAACUAGUAUAUCCAUUUAACUUGUAUACGUGUUUUAUAAGGAUUUUCGGAUUCCAGAUCUUUAGCCUUCAAUCACUAGCUUUUUAACUUUUGAAUUGAAUCAACGUUUGAUAUGGUAUUAGAGUCUAUAUGCUGAUUAGUGCUGGUUUGUGAACAGGGGAUGAUCCCAGCAUUUUCAGCCUGCUGUUGUGAUCUGGUUCAGCGAUGGAAGAAAUUAGCAGGUCCUCAGGGAUCAUGUGAAUUGGAUGUUGCAAGCGAAUUUAAUAUUCUUGCAAGUGAUGUUAUAGCUCGAGCAGCCUUUGGAAGCAGCUAUGAAGAGGGAAAGAAAAUAUUUGAUCUUCAAAAGGAUCAAGUUAUUUUGGCCCUUGAAGCUUUUUAUUCCAUUUACUUCCCUGGUUUGAGGUACAUAUUAAUGCCAUUUAUCUCUUGCAAAUUCAAGCUUCUCUCGGUGCUUGUUAAAAUUUUUAACCAAUGUCUGAUAAUACAUUAAAUCCCAGUUAACAACAUUUCAUUUCUUUGCGCUUCUCCAACAGAUUCAUACCCUCUAAAAAGAACAAGAAGAGAUACAGUAUAGACAAAGAGAUAAAAGCAGCAUUGAGAAAUAUUAUCCAUAAGAAGGAGCAGGCCAUGCAAAAUGGAGACUCAGGCGAUGCUGACUUGCUAGGCUUGCUUUUACAGGGCAGGGAUGAUGCUGAUAAUGACAUGAAAAUUGAAGAUGUAAUCGAGGAAUGCAAGUUGUUCUUCUUUGCAGGCCAAGAGACCACAGCAAACUUACUCACUUGGACAUUGAUAGUUCUAUCUAUGCAUCCAGUCUGGCAAGAGAAAGCAAGAGAAGAAGUUUUGCAGAUUUGUGGCAACAGAGCACCUGAUAUCGAUAGUAUAAAACAACUCAGAAUUGUAAGUACUUCUUUUGUUCACGCAUUAAUUUAUCAUGUUUUGUAAGCUACAGUCAACUCCUUGGAAACGAUUAUAAAUCCCUGGUUUAUGAAACUAAAUAAAUUUGCAGGUCUCAAUGAUCUUAAACGAGGUACUAAGACUAUAUCCACCUGUGAAUCUUCUGUAUCGACAUACUCUAAAGGAAACAAGCAUUCGAGGAAUGUCCAUUCCAGCUGGGUAGACCUCCUGUUACCAUUCCUGUUUCUUCACUAUGAUCCUGAGUAUUGGGGAGACAACGCAGAAGAAUUCAAACCAGAGAGAUUCUCUGAAGGAGUUUCGAAAG
rnacentral:lncRNA from 1 species